CGGCUAACUACGUGCCAGCAGCCGCGGUAAUACGUAGGGUGCAAGCGUUAUCCGGAAUUAUUGGGCGUAAAGGGCUCGUAGGCGGUUCGUCGCGUCCGGUGUGAAAGCCCAUCGCUAAACGGUGGGUCUGCGCCGGGUACGGGCGGGCUGGAGUGCGGUAGGGGAGACUGGAAUUCCCGGUGUAACGGUGGAAUGUGUAGAUAUCGGGAAGAACACCAAUGGCGAAGGCAGGUCUCUGGGCCGUCACUGACGCUGAGGAGCGAAAGCGUGGGGAGCGAACAGGAUUAGAUACCCUGGUAGUCCACGCCGUAAACGGUGGAUGCUGGAUGUGGGGCCCGUUCCACGGGUUCCGUGUCGGAGCUAACGCGUUAAGCAUCCCGCCUGGGGAGUACGGCCGCAAGGCUAAAACUCAAAGAAAUUGACGGGGGCCCGCACAAGCGGCGGAGCAUGCGGAUUAAUUCGAUGCAACGCGAAGAACCUUACCUGGGCUUGACAUGUUCCCGACAGCCGUAGAGAUAUGGCCUCCCUUCGGGGCGGGUUCACAGGUGGUGCAUGGUCGUCGUCAGCUCGUGUCGUGAGAUGUUGGGUUAAGUCCCGCAACGAGCGCAACCCUCGCCCUGUGUUGCCAGCACGUCAUGGUGGGAACUCACGGGGGACCGCCGGGGUCAACUCGGAGGAAGGUGGGGAUGACGUCAGAUCAUCAUGCCCCUUACGUCCAGGGCUUCACGCAUGCUACAAUGGCCGGUACAGCGGGAUGCGACAUGGCGACAUGGAGCGGAUCCCUGAAAACCGGUCUCAGUUCGGAUUGGAGUCUGCAACCCGACUCCAUGAAGGCGGAGUCGCUAGUAAUCGCGGAUCAGCAACGCCGCGGUGAAUGCGUUCCCGGGCCUUGUACACACCGCCCGUCAAGUCAUGAAAGUGGG
rnacentral:rRNA from 1 species